UAUAAGGGAUUUUGAGUUUUUGCUUCCAACGUUUGACCACUCGUCUUAUUCAAAAUUUUUUGAAAUUAUAAUUUAUUUUAUUUGUGACUUGCUUUAUUAUCUACCGUAUUUUAAGCACAACUUCACGUUUUUUAUAUUUGCAAAAAAAAUUUAAAUAAGACGAGUGGUCAAACGUUAUAAUCAAAAACUCAAAAUCCCUUAUA
rnacentral:pre_miRNA from 1 species